UACGUAGGGUGCAAGCGUUUGUCCGGAAUUAUUGGGCGUAAAGAGCUCGUAGGUGGUCUGUCGCGUCGGCUGUGAAAACUCGGGGCUCAACCCCGAGCCUGCAGUCGAUACGGGCAGACUUGAGUGCGGUAGGGGAGACUGGAAUUCCUGGUGUAGCGGUGAAAUGCGCAGAUAUCAGGAGGAACACCGGCGGCGAAGGCGGGUCUCUGGGCCGUAACUGACACGCUGAGGAGCGAAAGCGUGGGGAGCGAACAGGA
rnacentral:rRNA from 1 species